AAAGUGGGGUAAGUUGACGAAGCGGGUAAAAUGACGAAUGUCGAUAAAAUCAUUAUAACGUAAUAUAUUUCCAUUCGCAUAGGAAGCGCCAUCUCGUUAGUGUACCCUGAAGUAACUCAAAUAGUUUGGAAAGGCUUGGACGGCGUGCUUUUCUGUUAGAACUGAUUUGUGGAUUUCACGUGUGUCGGUAAACAUUUUCGUACAGUGUUUUUAAGGUUUACAGUGUUCCAAAUUAAGAUGCCUCGAAUAUACCAAAGAAAGACAAACAGACGUGCGUGGGAUGAAAAUGCUAUGAUUGCGGCUGUGCAUGAAGUAUUAGAUGGAAAAUCUUGCAAUGGUGUGGCUUCUCUAUACGACAUCCCAGAACCGACUCUGCGCAGGUAUGUGAAAAA